GAUGAACGCUGGCGGCGUGCCCAAUACAUGCAAGUCGAACGCUUCGAUUUAUCGAAGAGUGGCGAACGGGUGAGUAAUACAUAAGUAACCUGCCCUUAACAGGGGGAUAACUACUAGAAAUGGUAGCUAAGACCGCAUAGGUGGAUUGAUCGCAUGAUCGAUUCAUUAAAAGACCUCUCAAGGUCUGGAUAAGGAUGGACUUAUGUCGCAUUAGCUAGUUGGUAAGGUAACGGCUUACCAAGGCGACGAUGCGUAGCCGGCCUGAGAGGGUGAACGGCCACAUUGGGACUGAGACACGGCCCAAACUCCUACGGGAGGCAGCAGUAGGGAAUUUUCGGCAAUGGGGGAAACCCUGACCGAGCAACGCCGCGUGAAGGAAGAAGGAAUUCGUUUCGUAAACUUCUGUUAUAAAGGAAGAAAGAUGAUAUCAGGAAAUGGAUGUCAAGUGACGGUACUUUAUGAGAAAGCCACGGCUAACUACGUGCCAGCAGCCGCGGUAAUACGUAGGUGGCAAGCGUUAUCCGGAAUUAUUGGGCGUAAAGAGGGAGCAGGCGGUAACAAAGGUCUGUGGUGAAAGCCUGAAGCUUAACUUCAGUAAGCCAUAGAAACCAGGUAACUAGAGUGCAAGAGAGGAUCGUGGAAUUCCAUGUGUAGCGGUGAAAUGCGUAGAUAUAUGGAGGAACACCAGUGGCGAAGGCGACGAUCUGGCUUGUAACUGACGCUGAGUCCCGAAAGCGUGGGGAGCAAAUA
rnacentral:rRNA from 1 species